UACGAACGCUGGCGGCAUGCCUAACACAUGCAAGUCGAACGCCCUGGUUCGCCAGGGAGUGGCGCACGGGUGAGUAACGCGUGGGAACCUGCCCGGCAGUACGGGACAACCGCGGGAAACUGCGGCUGAUACCGUAUACGGCCUGAGGGCGAAAGAAUUUCGCUGUCGGAGGGGCCCGCGUCGGAUUAGGUAGUUGGUGGGGUAACGGCCAACCAAGCCUGCGAUCCGUAGCUGGUCUGAGAGGAUGAUCAGCCACACUGGGACUGAGACACGGCCCAGACUCCUACGGGAGGCAGCAGUGGGGAAUAUUGGACAAUGGGCGCAAGCCUGAUCCAGCAAUGCCGCGUGAGUGAUGAAGGCCUUAGGGUUGUAAAGCUCUUUCGCCCGCGACGAUGAUGACGGUAGCGGGAGAAGAAGCCCCGGCUAACUCCGUGCCAGCAGCCGCGGUAGUACGGAGGGGGCUAGCGUUGUUCGGAAUUACUGGGCGUAAAGGGCGCGCA
rnacentral:rRNA from 1 species